CUUGUUUGUAUCGGGUAUGUGGGCAUUUGUCUCUGUGUGGAUGUAUUGUAUACAUGUGUGCACACACACACACACACACACACACACACACACACACACAC
rnacentral:miRNA from 1 species